rnacentral:rRNA from 1 species
CAGUAGCCGCGGUAACACGAAGGGUGCAAGCGUUACUCGGAAUUACUGGGCGUAAAGCGUGCGUAGGUGGUGGUUUAAGUCCGUUGUGAAAGCCCUGGGCUCAACCUGGGAAUUGCAGUGGAUACUGGGUCACUAGAGUGUGGUAGAGGAUAGUGGAAUUUCCGGUGUAGCAGUGAAAUGCGUAGAGAUCGGAAGGAACAUCUGUGGCGAAGGCGACUAUCUGGGCCAACACUGACACUGAGGCACGAAAGCGUGGGGAGCAAACAGGAUUAGAUACCCAGUAGUCCCUGUCUCUUAUACA